AGCUAUCAACGCUGUAACCCGCCAAAAAAAAGAAGAAGAAUUGACCACCUUUGAGCAGAAGAAGAGUGGUUGCAUGAACCCUGGCCGUUUGGUGGACUUUUCUUUCACAGUCACUGUCGCCUGCCCUCUAUUAAAAUGGCAGAUCUCCAGGCUAAAUUUGAUGAUGCAGCAGCUGAAGUGAAGCAGCUGAAGGCAAAGCCGACGGAUGAAGAAAUGCUUCAGGUCUACUCCCUGUUUAAGCAGGCCACUGUGGGUGAUGUCAAUACAGGUCGCCCAGGGAUGUUUGAUUUCACUGGCAAAGCUAAAUGGGAUGCAUGGGAGAAACAGAAAGCCUUAAGGAAAAGAUUUCAGGAUGGUAUCAGGCAGAGCUAAAGCUUUGUUGAUGUAGGCAAAUUCCAGAUGUCUACUGUCUUUUUGCAGAAAUCGUCUCAUCAGGCAGGAGCAAAGAUGAUGCCAUGAAUGACUACAUCAACCUGGUGAAGCAGUUGAAGGAGAAAUAUGGAAUUUAACCACACUGGAUCAACUGCUGGAUCAAUGGAGAACAUUGGAAGUUGUCUCUGAUCCUCAUACUGUAAAACGCCUUAAAAUCCAAAGUGUAUCCUUAGACAGCAAAUGUGUGUCUGGUGGCUUGCUAAUGGUGGAGAUUACAUAUGCCUACAUAACCAAUGAUGUAUGAUCAUGAACUUGCCUCCAUUACCAUCAUUUCAAUCAAUGAUUUCAACCAUGUGUAUCUGCACAUUAUCCAGUUAUUUUAAUAUAAAAUUGUUCUACUGUUUUGUGUGGAUUUUGUUGUCUGAUUUUCUUAACAUGUACAUUACAUGUCAUUUAGCUGGCGCUUUUAUCCAAAACAACUUACAUAAAGUGCAUUUCAACCAUAAGGAUACAAAUUCAGAAAAACAGAGUGCAAUUUCAUCAAAUAAGCCGAUUUACAACUGGCUAUAGAUAAGAGCCAUUAAAAGUACAAUUUAAGUGCUACAAUAUGUUAAGUGUUUUUAGUCAAGGUAUAGUCGGACGAGGUAGAAGCUGUCUGUGGUUCUGAUGUCAUCAGAGAGCUCAUUCCACCAUUUAGAGUUGUGAUCUGGUUGAGUGCUUUGCUCUCAGUGAGGGAGGAAUGUAAUGGCAAAAAUAUAUGUAACUCUUCUAAAUGCUUCAUUUGUAUAACCAGUUUAUUAAUUGCAAGUGCUGAGAUGGAAAGGCCAUGGUAUGAGAGCUGAAGUGUUCCACACUGAUAAAUGUCCUCAGCGUCCUAGCUCUAGAGACUAAACAAAGUAGGUCGUAUGUAUUUGUUUUCAAGUGUUAGGAGGGCGAGUCCAUGGUCAAAGAACUGAUGUGUCUUACAUGGACUAGCUGUCCUGAGUAUCCUGGCUGUAGAGACUCAACAAGAUGGUCAAGGUUUCUGUUGACGCCACUGAUAACUGAACUUGUGUAUAAGAACUGCCUCGUUCUGUUAGGGGGCAGGAAGUUGGUUCAUGACAGUCUGCAGAGCAUGUAGCUGUUGUGACCUUUCUUCCCUUGCAAGGAAAUAAACGGAGAAAGACAUA